UUCAUGACAACACAAGACACAGAAAUCAUGACUUUCACCUCCGUCCUCAUCUGGACUCUCCUCUGCUGCUGCCUCACAGAGUCCAGAGGACAGGUCACAGUGACUCAGUCUGGAGCAGUGACAUCUGCUCUGGGAGGAUCUGCCACCAUCACAUGUAGAACCAGUCAGAAUGUCUACAACUCAAACUAUCUAUCCUGGUACCAACAGAGAGAUGGAGAAACUCCUAAACUCCUUAUUUACUCUGCUUCCACUCGAGCAUCAGGGAUUCCAGGUCGUUUUACAGGCAGUGGAUCAAAUUCUGACUUCACUCUGACCAUCAGUGGAGUCCAGGCUGAAGAUGCUGCAGUUUACUACUGUCUGGGUGAAUUUGAUACGAGCAAGUGGGAUUGGUUCACACAGUGAAAAAGCCUCGUACAAAAACCUCCUUCAGUCAGAGUGAACAGAAACUGAAGUGACUGCAGAGACUGAUACAGUUCACUGAGGACACACACCAGUGAUUUAAUAAA